CCUACGGGUGGCAGCAGUGGGGAAUAUUGGGCAAUGGGCGCAAGCCUGACCCAGCAACGCCGCGUGAAGGAAGAAGGCUUUCGGGUUGUAAACUUCUUUUCUCAGGGACGAAGCAAGUGACGGUACCUGAGGAAUAAGCCACGGCUAACUACGUGCCAGCAGCCGCGGUAAUACGUAGGUGGCAAGCGUUAUCCGGAUUUACUGGGUGUAAAGGGCGUGUAGGCGGGAAAGGAAGUGAGAUGUGAAAGCCAUGGGCUUAACCUGUGGUCUGCAUUUGAAACUGGUUUGCUUGAGUACUGGAGGGGCAGACGGAAUUCCUAGUGUAGCGGUGAAAUGCGUAGAUAUGAGGAGGAACACCGGUGGCGAAGGCAGUCUGUUGGACAGGAACUGACGCUGAGGCGCGAAAGCGUGGGGAGCAAACAGGAUUAGAUACCCUAGUAGUC
rnacentral:rRNA from 1 species